AACGUAGGUGGCAAGCGUUAUCCGGAUUUACUGGGCGUAAAGCAUGUGCAGACGGGUUGGUAAGUGGUGUAUGAAAGCGUCCGGCUUAACCGGGCAAGCGUAGGCCAGACUGCCAGUCUUGAGAGUGGGAGAGGGAUGUGGAAUUCCGGGUGUAGUGGUGAAAUGCGUAGAGAUCCGGAGGAACCCCAGAGGCCGAAGGCG
rnacentral:rRNA from 1 species